rnacentral:lncRNA from 10 species
AGUAUCUGUGAGGUAGGUACCAUUAUCCCAUUUUACAGAAAAGAACUUUAAAUAAUUAUUUAGAGACAGGGUCUCACUUUGUUGCCCAGUGCAGUGAUAUCCCCAUAGCUCACUGUAGCCUCGACCUCCUGGGCUGAAGCAACCCUCCUGCCUCAGCCUCUAGAAUAGCUGGGGUUACAGGCACAUGCCAUAAUGCCCAGCUAAUUUUUAAAUAUUUUUUAUAGAGACAGGGUCACCUUGGCCUCCCUAAGUGCUGGGAUUACAGGCUUAAGCCACUAUGGCCAGCUGGAAAUUUUUCUAUUUUUAUUUUUUACUUUAGAGACAAGGUCUUGCUCUGUUGGCCAGGCUAGAGUGCAGCGGUACAAUCAUAACUCAUUGCAGCCUCGAACUUUUAGGCCCAAGUGGUUCUUCUACCUAAGCCUCCCAAGUAGCUGGGAUUACAGGGACCAGAUGAGGAGAAUUGAGGCAGAAAGAGAUUAAGAAAUUAACAUAAGAGUAUAUAACUGUAAGAGAUAGAGUCAGGAUUCAGAGCCAGACAACUAACUUUCAAGUCCAGGUACUUGAUCACUAUACUCAGAUGCCUCUCUGGUUGGAUCAGAACUCUUCAUAAAUUGUGUCUGUGUUUGUGAAUGGUUUGUGUAGUGGUGGUUUUUUUUUCCCCUUCAUAAAAGGAGAGGGAUAUGCAUAGAUAUAGCUGUGCUCUGACCUCCGCAGUUACUCUGGAGGCCAAGAGCCUACCUUGUGCAUUAUAGUGGGCCCAAAGUUCAGAGAACAGGCAACAGUUUUGGAAGAAAUGCAUUACUGGGCCUCUUGGAGGAAAUUUGCCACCAUGGCUUAUUUCUAUGAGAGAUUUGAAAUUUUAGGCUCACCAUUCUCAUUGGAAAUUCACCUGUUGUAUCACAGACCUCUUCCUUCAAAAGCACAUUUCAGCAAGAUACCUGUCUUCAACCCCCACUCUGUCUUUCCUGCAUCCCCAAAGGAGACAGUAGGAGAAAUGGGACCACAGGAGGAAGUGGAGGGAUGAUACAUCAAGAAUGGGCAAAGGAAGAUAGGGUGACUCAUGCCUCUAGUCCCAAUUACUCAGGAAGCUGAGGCAGAAGGAUCACUUGAGCUCAGGAGUUGGAGGCUGCAGUGAGAUAUGAUCAUGCCACUGCACUGCAGCCUGGGUAGCAGAGCAAGACUCCAUCUCUUAAAAAAGAAAGGAAAAAAAAAAGAUAGGCAAGGGAGGAGAAAGGACCUGUUCCCUUGGUGCUUAUUCUUGACCUCAGACAGCCGUCUGAGCCAGGCUUUCUCUCAAGCAGACUCGGGCCAAGGGAACCAAUUCAUUAGCCAGCCUAAAUUUAAGCCACAAAAGGCAGGUGAUGAAGACAUGGGGCUACCUCUCUCAGAAGGUACAGCUGUUUUACAUCAAAAGCUGAACUGUCUCUUCCCAAAAAGGCCUAACCCAUGGUUCUUUUCCUUUGCAACAUUCCUAUAGCCUUAUUUCUAAUAAGGCUAGUAGCCUGGAAGUGCUACUUGCAAGUGGCCGGAGCUCUUGGCAGAAGAGAUAGCAUUUGUUGAGUACAUGCUGUAUGCCGGGCACUGACUAAAUGCUUUGUAUAUCUCUUCUUUUCUUCCCAAUAACCUUGUCAGUUGAGUUUAUUUUCCUUUAUUUACGAAUAAACAAACUGUGACUCAAAGAGGGUAACUUACCCAGGCUCACAGGGCUACUAAGAGGCAGAACUGAAAUUUGAACCCAACCAGACUAUGAUACCAGAGUCUCCUUCUACUAUACAGGUUCCCACCCUUCUGUAGCUGCCAGCUGUUUUGAGUACCAGCUGUCGCGGCCUUCAUGUUUUUUGGUUUUUUUUUUUUUU